rnacentral:rRNA from 1 species
GACGAAGGUGGCAAGCGUUGUUCGGAUUCACUGGGCAUAAAGGGCGCGUAGGCUGUUCCGCAAGCGGCGUGUGAAAUCCCCCGGCUCAACCGGGGAAGUGCGCGCCGAACUGCGGUUCUCGAGGGCGGGAGGGGGGACUGGAACUCUCGGUGGAGCGGUGAAAUGCGUAGAUAUCGAGAGGAACACCGGUGGCGAAGGCGAGUCCCUGGUCCGCUUCUGACGCUGAGGCGCGAAAGCGUGGGUAGCAAACAGG